ACGCUCGACACCUACUGGAGGCAGCAGUGGGGAAUAUUGCACAAUGGGGGAAACCCUGAUGCAGCGACGCCGCGUGAAGGAAGAAGUAUCUCGGUAUGUAAACUUCUAUCAGCAGGGAAGAAAAUGACGGUACCUGACUAAGAAGCCCCGGCUAACUACGUCGCCGCAGCCGCGGUAAUCUGAGCGGGCUGGCAAGGC
rnacentral:rRNA from 1 species